rnacentral:sRNA from 1 species
AGCUGAUGCAUAUGGCGGUCUCCUCCCAGUUCCGCCGCCGCAGCUGUUCCCCUCUGGAGGUCAAAGAUCUCCACACUUUAUGGGCCGCGGGUUACUCCGUCGGCCCUUUUU